AUAUUAAUAAGAGAGAGGAGUGUGGGGGUGGGGGAUGUUCCCGUGGUUCUGGUGAAUGUUUACCUCCUGAAUCCAGAAGGUGCCUCAUCUUUUGACUAAUCCUUGAAGUUCCCCUACUCCUAUGGUAAUUUUAAAACAAAAAUCUGUGCAAAAACCACACUAGAUCAGAUUAUAUAAAGAUUUAGAUAACUGAAUCCAAAUGUGCUGUCAAUUAUUGGUGGCGUAGUCACUUAGCAGGUUCUACUUCUGUUGGCUUUUUCUCUUGUUUGUAGCUUUUUCUUGGUUGCUUAACUAGUUUGGUGUAUGUUUCAAUAAUUAAAACCUCCCCAUAACAUUUCCUAUUAAAGGCCCAAUGUCGUCCAUUAGGAUAUUAUGCAACUUUUGUUGAGCAAUAAAUGUGCAGUAGUGAUUUUCAGCGUAUUCUAACCAGGUAGUGUGUACACUUAUUUUGAUGCAUCUAUGAUUACUUUGAUCUUGAGCUAUAGACUGAUUCACAUAGCGUACGGGAUCAACUGAAUGUGCAACCUACCAGCUCCGAGAUCUUCCAUCGUUUUAUGUUUGAGCUGUUCGUAAUAAAAUGACCANUACGGGAUCAACUGAAUGUGCAACCUACCAGCUCCGAGAUCUUCCAUCGUUUUAUGUUUGAGCUGUUCGUAAUAAAAUGACCAUGAAAGUGUAUAACUUUCUAUAACGUUGUAAUUGCAUAUUUCUCCCUUGCUCCCACGUCACAUGGUAUCCUUCAGAUUAACAUUACCAAUUUGUUGUGACAUAUUUCAUCUUGUGCAUAUGGGAUUAUUGUUAACUGAGUUCGAUCCACAUGAUUCAAGAUUUACA
rnacentral:lncRNA from 1 species